GGUUCUGGUUCAGUGGUAGAACACCUACCUGGCAUGCGUGAGGCACUGGGUUUGAUCCUCAGCACCA
rnacentral:tRNA from 1 species